UGGCCUCAAAUCAGGUAGGACUACCCGCUGAACUUAAGCAUAUCAAUAAGCGGAGGAAAAGAAACUAACAAGGAUUCCCUUAGUAACGGCGAGUGAACCGGGAAAAGCUCAAAUUUGAAAUCUGGCUGUCUUCGAUAGUCCGAGUUGUAAUCUAUAGAAGCGUUUUCCGUGCUGAACUGUGUAUAAGUGUCUUGGAACAGACUAUCAAAGAGGGUGACAAUCCCGUACUUUACACAAUCAUCAGUGCUCUGUGAUACGUUCUCUACGAGUCGAGUUGUUUGGGAAUGCAGCUCAAAAUGGGUGGUAAAUUCCAUCUAAAGCUAAAUAUUGGCGAGAGACCGAUAGCGAACAAGUACCGUGAGGGAAAGAUGAAAAGCACUUUGGAAAGAGAGUUAAACAGUACGUGAAAUUGUUAAAAGGGAAACGAUUGAAGUCAGUCGUGUUUAUUGGAUUCAGCCGGUCUUCGGUGUACUUCCUUUAAACGGGUCAACAUCAGUUUUGUCCGGUGGAUAAAGGCAGUAGGAAUGUGGCUCCCUCGGGAGUGUUAUAGCCUAUUGUCACAUACACUGGAGGAGACUGAGGACUGCAGCUCGCCUUUUUGGCCGGGGUUCGCCCACGUUCGAGCUUAGGAUGUUGACAUAAUGGCUUUAAACGACCCGUCUUGAAACACG
rnacentral:rRNA from 1 species